GGUUAGCUUAUCAGGAACUUAAUUAUCAGGGUCUGUAAAGACCUUACCCAAAAUAUCACCAGCUCAACAAUUUUUAAGAUGAGAACUCAAAAACAGGUCAAGACUAUUGCUUCACAGCUUGAGGUUUUAGAAGAGCUACGUGACCAGCUGGAAAAUACCGUUGAUUAUAUUAACUCUGUUCUACACAAAGGCAAAGAAUGGAUUGACGAGACGAACAACGAAAGUUUUGUGAAAAUCAAUCAGUUCCUAGUCACUGAGACUUCUGAAUGUUUACGGCGAUGUGCCUCCAUUACAGGUAUGUUAAAAUUACUUUUGUUUGCGUGUAUAAUUGCUUAUGCCAGACUUUAUGAGUGGGCUUGUUGUAGAAGCCAUUUCAUGAAUAUGUAAACAUUCAAACAACUUGCCAAGUUUUUGAGACCAGCAGAUUUAUUGCUUAAUUUGUGUAAGACCUUUGACAGCCUGUUCUGUGACGUAUGGAGAAUGCGACCAAGGUUUUCUUUCUUCUUCAUUUUAUUAAUAAUGUUUCGUAACUUGCUUCCAUGGCUACGCUUCCUGUAACAAGCUGACAUUGAAGGCAUAAAAAGAAUAAAACACUUACACAAUAUCUGUUGCAUUGCCUGUUAUAUGUUCACCUCAGUAGAUUAAGAAGGUUGACAACAAGAGUUUCAACAAACAAUGUGGCGGUUUAGUUAUAAA
rnacentral:sRNA from 13 species